rnacentral:rRNA from 1 species
UACGGAGGAGGCAAGCGUUAUCCGGAAUUAUUGGGCGUAAAGCGUCCGCAGGCGGCACCUCAAGUCUGCUGUCAAAGCCCGGGGCUUAACCCCAGAAAGGCAGUGGAAACUGAAGUGCUAGAGUGCAGUAGGGGUAGAGGGAAUUCCCGGUGUAGCGGUGAAAUGCGUAGAGAUCGGGAAGAACAUCGGUGGCGAAAGCGGUCUGCUGGACUGAAACUGACACUCAGGGACGAAAGCUAGGGGAGCGAAUGGG